UACGGGGGGGGCAAGCGUUGUUCGGAAUUACUGGGCGUAAAGGGCUCGUAGGCGGCUCGUUAAGUCAGACGUGAAAGCCCUCGGCUUAACCGGGGAACGGCGUCUGAGACUGGCAAGCUUGAAUCCGGGAGAGGGAUGCGGAAUUCCAGGUGUAGCGGUGAAAUGCGUAGAUAUCUGGAGGAACACCGGUGGCGAAGGCGGCAUCCUGGACCGGUAUUGACGCUGAGGAGCGAAAGCCAGGGGAGCAAACGGG
rnacentral:rRNA from 1 species